GAGGUUUCCUAAAGGUCGGUGUUGAGUGCACAGCAGUCCUGCUGUUAAGUUCAGUUCAGUUCACGUCACAAUCCAUGUGCGAGACGACACAUUUGUGUGUGUGUGUGUGUGUGUCUAUGAAGUUAGGUGAGGAAAUAAGAACGAGCCACGGAGCGCGCCAGCGGCCUCAGACCAGCUGCCGUUCUGAGACCAUUGAUGCUUGGGUAGGUAGUACGAAAGAGGUCAACAGGUACCUCGACAACGAACGACUUAAAUCCGAAACAAAAAAAGCUACUUCCCGCGAAUUAAAUCCGAAUCAACCUUAUUAGGAACGUUAUGAUGAUAAAAAUUAACACUCACGGCAGUUACUAGGUACGAGGUAGACGUGUUUUUAAGUGCCUCGACUGUGCAGGGUGUUGGAUACCUCCGCCGAGAUCACUCACGCCGCUGCCCCCAGGAGUUUGGACAGAACCCCUUCGACCGUCGGAACGAGCCGCUGCUCAUGUUUGCAAAGUUCCCACACGUAUUCCUCUAGUUCAGGGAGUGAGUGCUCGAACGGCGGUACCUCCGAAAAGAGGAGUUCUACAGGCUCCACCUUUUAGGGUUACAUGUCCUAUUUCAGACCUACUUACUCCACGCCCUCAACAGAAUACUGUACCUCCUACGGUAACUACUGAAGUACGUUUCAUAGGUACUGUUUCUACUUUUCGGUCUACCGAAGUAACCCUUCUAGUUCUCGAGUGACCCUUUCAACCCUUUCUACUUCCGAGCAGUAGCCUAACCGUUCCUCUAGGUUUUAGAAUUCUUUGUCUAGUGACUCCACCCACUUUCUUUAAGAUCCAUAUACUGACCACACCGAUAGAGGUUGUGGUUCUUACGUUGACAACUGGAAGCUCGAGAAAGAUACAAACUCUUGCGGAGUUUUGAACACCCUUAACUACUUGGUUUCCGACUCUAUUAGUUUGACGACUGGCUUCCACUUAGUUGUUUACUCGUUGGAUUUGACCAGAGGUAGCAUCCUCGACCACCUUACCCAUUCUGUUGAGAACGUUUGGUUCAGAUAGUUCUGGAGUUUCUUUUUAAGCUUACGGUUCGGAAGGACAGACACAGUGCUUUAGGUCUGUACUAAUUAUAACACAGACGCUUCAGUCACCAGUUCUAAUACGAUGGUGACUUCGUCCCUUAUAUGUUGUUUAGUAGUAGUUUUAGUGUUUAAAGGAUCGUUUGUUUUCCAUAAAACACCAGCAACUACUAUAUACCCUGUACGUAUGUACCCUACAAUAAUUCGCGUGUAAGGGGUACUGUUCAAGACCGUCAUAGCAUUAGUGGUGAUGAGCAUAUGUACUACAACGGUUUAGUACAGUAAGUAGUAAAUCACCCGUGUAAAUAUCAUAUUCCGGGGAAUUGGGCCACGUAAGUUUUCUUGAUAAAGUACCUUCCGACAAGUUGAGAUUUCUUCUAGAGGGAAAUGUGGAGCUUUUUCAAAGACUACUUUAAAACUUUUUUACACUACCUAAUGGAGACCGUUAGUAACGAUAUAGACCAAACAACCGAUUAUCUCUCUCUUGUCUCCUACAUACCUUCGUUCACUUUCUAAGUUAACCCACACGUGAACUUUCUUUAGGAUCGCAACUUCAUUACUACUUCUAUGACAGAGAAUCAAUGAAACUAGACGGAGGAAUAGAUUUCUGUACAGAGAAUAUAAAGUCAUAUAAAGGUCUUCUAAGAAAAUAACUCUACGUUUCAAACUAUUACUCCACCUAUCCACUUCUUAAGUAAGUAUUUCUUCCUUCUAUAUACCGCGUUCUCUAUCCUCUUUCCACAAAAUUACUCGAGGAGUUAUCCCCAAACUAAGUUGGGCCCCUCUGUUUACUUAUACCGCUCCACUUCUCAACAGCACAAGUGCUGUAUUAAGAACUAAAGUAGCAUAGGUUCAGAUAUCUUCUUUUGAAACAAUGAUAUAAUUCACAAUGGUGAUACCGUCACUCCUGUGUUUCGUUUCAGCAGGCCGCUAAGAGAGAUGUUCCUUAGCUCCUUCUUUUAAGUUGUUAUAGCUUUCGUCCAGACCACAACAGGGUACAGGCCAGUGAAUUACACAAACUUCCAAAACACCUUUAGGGAAGAAACCCCCUCAAGUCUGUAGACGCACAAAAGGUGAAACUAUCGAUGUACGGUGACCUUCUGGUAGUAGAACUUUUAUAUCACUCCAACUACGUCGAAUCCAUGGACUUGGAGGUUCCAUGUUUUUAUUCACUCGAGGGUCUUGUUUAGCCCUCAAAUCCCACGAAUCUUUAUGAAUUGGAUUCUAAGUUAGUACACUCCCUUAAUGGACGUAGAUAACAAUUCGAACUUUUUAAUAGUGUAGAUGAGCAACUACUAAUACAAUUUAAAGGACUACCCCAGCGUUUCUACGUUCGUGAUCUCUGCGACCUUCUACACUCCCGGAGGUAAGUUGGUAAACUGAAGGACACGCCUGAACCGGUCGAUUUCUUAAACUCCUCUGACGUCGAACUGGAAUAACACCAAACCCUCCUGACGUUGUUCCGAUAGCGGAGAAGUGACACAUUCGAUCCGUGGGUCUUAGAGGCGAGGGAUUGAUAAAUAUUUCCCUCAUCGGAGAAUGUGCUUGGAAACAUAGACGGAUACGAGCUCUUUGAAUACUGUACCAAAAGUCAGCAGGGACUCCAAGGCUUUACCCACUCAAGGGAGUCUUUGGAGGUUGACGAUGCAGAACUUCACCUACAUCAGUUCGUCCUACUAUAGACGUAGGAACCACGGAAUGGGUGAGACGAGUAAGACGUAGACUAACUGCAUUGCUUAAGUUUACUUUUCGAGUCUUAGUCACCACAUCUACCCAAGUUUAAGAACUCCUAAAAAUACAUACAAUGUUUAAGAGUAUUCGAUCUAGACUACAAACGUCGUCCUAGGUACGGGUUCGAUCUUUUUGAGCUAGAAUCAACAAACGUGUAUGAACUUCGAUUGAUAAACCUGAAACCUUAGCUCUUGGAGGAGACGGAGUAGUGACAUUUUAAACAUCGUAUACCGUCCGAACUCCCGCAAUAACCUCGGUAUUUCUGACGGAACCUCUCUCGUCGGUUGUGUGUAAGGUUGGUGGGAUCACAUGAGAAACUCUCUUAAGUUAUUCUGUUCUUGGUCCUGGUCCUGAUACAACCUCUCUGAACGGACAGAGGAGGAGCAAGCAGACUUGCUAAGAAUACAAAUACUCAAAAUUCAAACUAUGAAACGACGAUAUUGAAAAUUUGUAACAUAAGAGAGGGGAUGAAACCUAUUACAUACUGUAGGUACGAAAGGUAUAAAAUUUAAACUGGUGAUUAACCAAACCUGAGGCAACUAUGUCUUAACAUC
rnacentral:rRNA from 1 species